ensembl:lncRNA
AUGCUGGAGGAUACACAGCAAGAGAAAGAGUUUGUUGAGCAACUGAAAACAGCUGCGUUGAAGGACAAGGAAGAUCAGGAAAAGCGUUUAGCUGAGAUGGACAAGGAGAGAGAGGAACUCAAACAGAUUAGAGUUCAGGUCCAGAACGACAAGAAAGAUCUAGAAAAACAAAGGUAUGAAAUGAUGAGAUAUGAUGUAGAACAGAGUGCUCAAGUGCAGAGACAAAGAGAAGAACUUGAGAAGAUCAAGACUCAGCUAUUUCUGGACACAGAGAUCAUGAACAGAAGCAGAGAGUUAGCGCAACAAGAUAGAGUGAAAGCUGAACGCCUUAUGAUUGAGAUCCAGGAACAAAGAGAGGAAGUGAAUAAAAGGUUAGAGGAGACAAAACGACGAGAGGACACCUUGAGGAAGAUGAGAGAGGACAUGGAGGACGAGAGAGAAGAUCUGGAGAAGAUCCGUUUGGAAACGCUGAGAGGGAAAGACACAUAUGAAGAGGUCAAGGAUGAGAUUAACAGGGUGAGAGCGGAGAUAGAGAGGUUGUGGGAUGAGGCUGAAAAGGGAGAGCCUGAGGAAUGUGAAAGGAUGAACAGGGAGAAGGAGGAGAUGAUGAGGAAGAUGGAAGCUAUGAAGAAGGAGAUGGGUGAUAUUGAAGACAUGAAGAUGGAGUUAACAAAACAGAAGGAGGACAUCGACGUAAAGAUGGAGAAGGCAAGGCUGGAAAUGACUCAUCUUGAAAAGAUGAGAGCAGACCUCCAAAAACAGAAAGAAGAUAUUGAAAUCCAGAUGAUGGAAGCAAAAAGUGAGAGAUACCAGAUGGAACUGAUGAGGACUGAGAUCUUAAAACAAAAAGAGGAUGUUGAAAGGAAAAUGGAGCUAGCAAAAGCAGAGAUGGACAAAAUGCAGCUUGUCAAAGAGGAAAUACAAAGACAAAGAAAAGAGCUGGAGGAAAGGAUGCAGAAAACCAAACGAGAGAUUGAAGAAAUGGAGCUGAUGAAGAGAGAAAUGGAAGGGAAGAAGAAAGAACUUCAGCAAAGGAUGAAAUUGACCAUGAGGAAGAAGGACGAGAUGGAACGACUGAAGAUGGAGAUACAAAGAGCAAAAGAUGAGAUGGAACGGAAAAGAGUGGAGACAGAGAGGCAGAAGUAUGAAAUGGAGCAAGUUAAAGCUGAAAUCCAAAGAGCGAGAGAGGAGUUUGAACUUAGGAUGGAGGAGAGAGAUUUAGAAGAAGAGAAAGGACAGAUGAACCUCACAAUAAUCAACCUUAUUCAACAGAUUGAGGCGACGAGAGAAAUGGUGCGAAAAGCAAAAUUCCAGAUUGAAAGCCAAAUGGCAGGAAGUCAGAUGGAGAUGACAGACCAAGAGGAGAUGAAUGCUGAGAUGCAGAGGCUCAUUCUGGAGAUUGAACACAUCCGUGAAAUGCUGCGAGGUCUUAAGGGUGAGGUGGAACACAACAAGGAAAUGAUGAAGAGAGACAGGGAUGAGAUGAGGCUGCUGAAGAAUGAAGUUCAGCGAAGGAGAAGAGAGAUUGAAUACAGAGAAGAAAAGAUUAUAAGAGAACGGGACAAACUAGAACUCAUGAGAAAUAUGUUGCAGCGGCAAAGAGAGGAACUGGAGGAGAGGUUGGAGGAGACCAUUAAAGAGAAUGAUAAGGUGGAGCAGAUGAGAGAUGAUGUGAAAAAUGCCUUGGAGAACAUAGAACGGGCCAAAAAAGAGAUAAAGAGAGAGAAAGAACUCAUUGCUCAAGAAAAGACAGGAAAAGAAAAGGUUCAACCAGCCAUCAUUCCAACCGAGAGCCAAGAGUAUGCAAAAACAGAAGAACCAGCUGCCAUUAAAGUGGAAGACUUUGUCAGUGAUAGACAGAAAGAAAGACAAAAACUGGAACAAUAUAAAGAAAUCCUUUUAAUAGAGAAACAUGAACUAGAGAAGACAAAGGAGGAUGUACAAGCGCUGCAGAAUAAAACUGAAGAGAUGAUGACAAAAUUACAAGAGGAGGAAAAGGAGAUGGAAAAGAAACAAGCGAGUCUACAAAACUGGGAAAGACUGCUGCAAUCAGAAAGAGAGGAGAACCAGAGAGGUUUAGAUGUAAUAUGGAAAGAGAAGAAGCAGCUGGAUCAAAGAAAACAAGAACUAGACAAUAUGGAAAUAAAUCUACAGAGAGAGAAAUAUGAAUUGGAAAAAACAAGAAAGAUUAAGCAAGCUGAUGUGCAAGUCCAAACUGAUGUGAUGGAUGAUGUAGGAAAACAUCAGAUGAUCUUGACCAUGGAGGAGCUGGAUAAAGAGCGACAAGCACUAGAGUAUUUCAAAAAAGACUUACUUGCACAAAAAAGUACAAUUGAGAGACAACUGGCAGAAAUAAAAAUGAGCAAGGAUGAAUUUUCGCUCAAAGAAGUCGCACUGCAAACUGCAACAAAACACGCAGCAGACAUGGAGUUGCAAUUAGAACAGCGAAAACAGGAGCUAGAACAAACAAAAGAUGAGCUGGAAAAGACAAAGCUAGAAAAAGAAGACAUGAUAAGAACAGAAUUAGAAAAAGCAAGAGAUGUCCUAAAUCACAUUAGACAGGAUAUAGAAAAACAAAAACAAACCAUGGAGGCUGAUCUAAAAGACACUUUUGCUAGAGAACUAGAAGACAUCGAAGCUCAGCAAAAAAGGAUAGAGGAUGAAAAGAGAACAUUAGAGAACAUGAAAUAUGAGCUGGAAAAGGAGUCUAGUGAUGUUGAAAGGUUAAAACAGAAUGUGCAGAAAGAAAGACAGAACAUGGAGAAAUGGGCAGAGCAGCUCAAAAAAGAGAGGGAGGAACUAGAAAAGAAAAUGUGUGAUAUUCAACAAAUACAAGCACAGAUAGUGAGAGAAAAGAAAGAGCUAGAGAAUUCGAGAGAGGAGAAUGAGCAGACAUUGAAGGAGAUCAUAAUGGAGAGAGACACUCUUGAGAAACAAAAAGAUGAUUUUGAGAAUGAGAAGGAAGAAAUCAAGAAAAGAGAAAAUGAACUGCAGCAAAUGCAAGCUGAUCUUAACAGACAACAAAAAGACAUGCAUGAUAUUCAGAAUAUAGUUUUCAUGCAAAAAAGUCAACUUCAGAUAAGCCAAGAGGAAAUAGCUGAAAAGCUAAAACAGGUCGAUAACAUCAUGCAGUUCACACAAAAUGAAAAAGACAGUCUUGACAGAGAGAGGGCGGCUAUAAUGGAGCAGAAGCAGCAGAUGGAGAGAAACAUGACAGAUGCACUAAACAGAGAACUGGAAACUGUGGAACUUGUGAAACAAGAGAUACUAAAUGAGAAGCGACUUAUUGAGGACUGCAGAAUAGCUUUAAUGAGAGAGAUACAAGAUUUGGAGCAAAAGAAAAUCAAUUUGGGGGCUCAGGCGGAUGAGAUAAAAUUACAAAGACAAAGUAUUGCAGAAGAGAAAAACACGUUGGAACAAACGAAAUCUUUGCUGCAAAGAGUAGCUGAAGAUACUGAGAAGCUAAGACAAGAUACACAAGCUGAAAGACAUAAAAUUAAAAACACUGCUGUGCAACUUCAGAAAGAGAGAGAUGCCAUUGUGAGUCUUGCAGAGGAGACAAAAAGGAAGAGGGAGGACCUGGACAAAAUGCAAACUGAUAUAGAAAAGCAGGAAAAAGCCAUGAAGGCUAAUCUGCAAAAAGAAGCCAGUGUCAUUGAAAAUUUAAGACAAGCUGUUCAAAAUGACAUACAAAACAUAAAAGAUAUGGAAGCCAAAAUUCUAAAAGAAAGACAAUACACUUAUAGUCUAGUUGAAGAGACUGAAAAAAGGUCAAAAGCUCUAGAUGAGCUACAUAUGGAGGUUGAAAAAGAAAAGCAAUGUGUUGAGUCUGAGAGAGAUGUGCUAGAACAGGAGAAGUUUAAGCUUAAAGAACUCAAAGAUGAAUUUGCUCAGCAAAAAGAACAGAACAGUAUUAUACUGGCAGAGAUACAGAAAGAAAGAGACAAUCUUAAGCAGUUGAUUGAAACCAUCUCAAAUCAAAGGUGCAUUGUUGAAAAUGAUAAAGAAAAUUUAAGACUGAGAGAAAAUGAACUGAAACAAAAAGAAGCAGAGAUGGAAAACAAACAAAAACAAAUAGAUGAGUUGAAGAGCAUUUUAAGGAUGGAAAAGAUGCAAGUUGAGCAGAUGCAAGCUGACCAAGAUCAACACAGGACAGCUGCACAUGAAAAAAUACAAUAUGUUAAGACUGUAAGAGAAAGAGAAGCGGCAGAUCUGGAGAAAGAGAGACAGGAAAUUGAGAAUUUGAGAGAAGAAUUGAGGGUAGAAUAUGAAAAUGUGGAGCUCCUAAAGGAAAAUCUAACUGAACAAAAAGAAGUAUUUAAAAGCCACAUGAAAUCACUGGAAAUGGAUAAGGACGACAUAGAGAAAAAUAAAGCCAAACUGCACAAAGAAUUUGAAAACUUGCAGUUUCACAGGCAAUCUUUUGAGAAAGAGAUACAGCAGGUGAGAGCUGAGCUUCAGAAAGAGACUGACAAUACUGAGAGAAUAAAGAAAGAGGUGGUGGCUGAAAAGCAGAGUAUAAAAGACAUGGCAGCUCAAAUUGAACAUGAGGGAAAUGACAGAAAAGAAGCUCUGGAGAGGAUGCGUCUUGAGCUAGAAAAACAAAAGCAAACAACUGAGACUGAAAAAGAUAUACUAGAAAAACAGAAAUCUGAAGUGGAGAGAAGCAAAACAGAGAUAGCUAGAGCAGAAGAAGAUCUUGCUGAAAAGAGAAAAAUGUAUGAUAUUGAUCGGUCAGAGAUAGAGAAGCAAACAAAUUCCCUUGAGCAAAUAAAGAUGAACAUCUCACAAGCGGAACAUGAUAUUAAAAAAGCCAAGGACAGUUUAAGACAUCAAGAAAAUGAACUGAAUAUACGUACCUCACAACUUUAUGCACAACAAAAAGAAAUAGAAGAGACUCAGGAUAUUAUCAUGAAACAGAAGAGUCAGCUUAAUGAAAAGCAGGAUGAAAUAGAAAAACAAAAGCGAGAACUGGAGAAUGUGAUGGACAGACUUGAGAAAGAGAGGACUGAUGUUAUGGAAGAAAGACAAAGAGUGAAUGACAUGCAAGUAGAACUGAAGAGGGAAAGUGAAAUAGUGGAGCUGAUGAAACAAGAAGUUCUCAGAGAAAAAGAAUCUAUUGAAAACAGCAGGAAAAUACUAAAAAGAAAUCAAGAGGAUAUUCAAGAAAAUAGAACCAUCUUAUCGCAAGAGUUUGAGACCUUAAACUACCAGAAACAAUUGAUUGGCAAAGAAAAGCAGGAAUUUUAUAAGAUGAAAACUGAGCUCCAACAGGAAAAGGAAAAUAUUGCUAAACUAAGGGAAGACAUAGAAAAUGACAGGCAGAAGGCUGAGGAAAUAGCAAACAAACUUCAAAAAGAAAAGGAAGUUAUAGAGACUUCUUUUGCAAGGCUAAGAUCAGAGGAAGCAGAUUUAAGAAAACAAAAACAAUCAAUUGAAUCUGAAAAGGAAAAGUCUGUCCUGGAGAAAACUAAAACAGAGAUAUCCAGAGCGAAAGAAGAUCUUGAGAACCAACUUGAAUCACAUAAAAGGCAAAAUGAAGUAACACUGGCUGAGAUACACAAAGAGAAACACAUUCUUGAGCAGUUAAGAAUGAACAUAUCAAGACAGAGAGAUGAUCUAGAAAAGGACAUUGAGCAAACAAGAUACAAACAAGCAGAGCUGCAAAGUCUAAAAAUGGAAAUUCAGAAACAGCAAACAGAGAUAGAUGAGCAGAAGGUGAUGAUUUCCAUGCAGAAGAGUGGGCUUAAAGACAUAAAAAUUCAAAUAGAUCAACAGAAAAAAGAGACAGAUGAAACCAAAGAACAGAUAAGGAAGGAGAGAGAUUAUAUCGAGAGGGAAAGAGCAGAAAUAAUUAAUCAAAAACAGCAUAUGGAGGUAAAUUUAAGGGAAGAACUAAAAAAGAAGAGUGAAAAGUUAGAACUGCUCAGAAAGGAGUUGUAUGAUGAAAAGGAAAGAAUUGACAACUGCAGGAAAAAAAUAAAAACAGAUAUGGAUGCUUUGGAACAAACAAAGCAUGAUGUAGUUAAAGAGUUGGAGAUUAUCAAGCUUCAGAAACAAAUGAUCGAGGAUGAGAAAAACAAGACUGAGCAGAUAAAAGCUCAGCUAAAAAGAGAAGCUGAAGACAUCGAGAAGAUAAAAGUAGUGACACAAAAUGAAAGACAGAAGCUUCAGGAAGCAACAACCCACCUUCAGAAAGAUAGAGACAAUGUUCAGAGUCUUGCAGAGGAACUUGACAAGAAAAAAGUGGCUCUAGAAAAUGUGCAACGGGAGAUAGAAAUGCAAAGGAAAGCAAAUGAGUCUAAUAAACAGAUGCAAGAAAGGGCUCUGUUUGAGCUGAAGAAAACUGUGACAGAUAUAGCAAGAGCGAAGGAGGAUCUUGAAAACCAGCUUGUUGAAGAAAGAGAAAAGAACAAGAUCACACUAGCAGAAAAAGACAUGCUUCUUCUACUGAGAGACAGUAUUUCAGAGCAACAGGAUAACAUUGCAAAUGAGAGAGAGCAAAUGAGACUUAGAGAGACUGAACUUGAACAACUCCAAGCUCUGAUUUAUAGACAGCAAGAUGAAAUGGAAGCCACACGAAAAGCUCUCACAAUGGAAAAAAGUAGACUUGAGGAGAAGAAAACUGAAAUAGAUCAAAAAUGGAGAAAAGUAAAUGAAAUCAUGGAGUUUACAACAGGAGAAAAGGCUUAUCUUGAGAAAGAGAGGUCUGAAAUGAUAGCACAGAAACACCAAAUGGAGAAUGAACUGGAGCUCUUUAAGGUGGAACUGAAUAAUGAAAAACAAUUAACUGAAGAAAGGACCCAAAUGUUAACAACAUACAAGGCUGACAUAGAAGAAAAAAGAGCAGCCCUAGAGAUAGAGAUAAAGAAGCUUGAUUAUCAUAAAAAAGCUAUUCAAGAUGAGAAGGAUAAUGUUGAACAGAUGAAAAUUGAGCUGCAAAGAGAAGCCGAUGACAUCAGAAAGCUAAAAGAUGAAACACAAAUUGAAAAACAGAGUUUGGAAAAGAUGGCAGAAGAACUUCAGAAAGAGAGAGAAGCUAUUGUUCAUCUUGCUGAAGACACAAAAAGAAAAAAUGAGAUUCUGGGUGAAAUGAAAGCUGCAAAUGAUUCUUCAAUGGCAGAUCUACAAAGAGAGAAACACAAUCUUGAGCAAAUGAGAGUGAACAUCUCAAAACAAACUGAUGAUAUUGAAAAUGAGAAAGAGAAAAUGAGACUCAGAGAGGAUGAACUGCAGCAACUGCAAGCAGAGAUUCAUAAACAACAAAGUGAAAUGAAAAACCUCAAACAAAUCAUCAUGACUGAGAAGCAGCAGCUUGAACUCAGAGAGACUGAAAUAGAAAAACAACAGAAGGAGCUGCAUGACAUUGUGGAGUUUGCAAAUAAUGAGAAGAGCAUUAUUGAAAAUGAAAUCGCUGCAAUGAACAGGGAAAAACAGAACAUGAUGACUGAGUUGAAAAAGAAGUCUGAAGAUGUUGAGCUUCAGAUGAAGGAGGUAUUGACUGAAAAGGAAAUGCUGGAAAAUGACAGACAACUGCUGAAGAGAGACCAGGAAAUUCUGCAACAAAAGCUAGUUAAUGUAGACUGUGACUCUGAUAGUCUGAAACUUGAGAGAGAAGCUUUGGGGAAUGAGAAGGAAGUGAUAAAACAGAUCAAAACUGAAUUGCAAAGAGAAGCAUGUGAGAUUGAGAAGAUCAGACUAGAAACACAACAUGAAAGACAAAGGAUUGAUGAAAUGGCAGCUCAAAUCCAGAAAGAGAGAGAAGAAAUCAAUAGUCUUAUUGUGGAAAUUAAAAAGAAGAGAUAUGUUCUGGAUGAAACCUAUACUGAAAUACAAAGGGAACAAGAAGCAAUCGAGAGAGGCAAAGACUUGAUUAGAAGGGAAUGGUCUGACCUAGAGAAAACCAAAGCGGAGAUGUCUCAAACCAAGGAAGAGAUUGAAAAACAAAAAACAAACAUUGAGAUCACAUUGGCAGAGAUACAAAAAGAGAGAAACAUGCUUGAACAGAUGAGUGAGAAAAUAACAAGAGAAAAAAUGAUGCUUGAAGAUGAAAAGGAAGAAUUAAGAAUAGGAAAGGAAGAACUUGAAAGGAUGUGGGCAGACAUCGAAAGACAACAAGAAGAUACUGAUCACCUGAGGUUUGGCAUAACAAAAGAGAGUCUAUUUGAGAAGUCAGAGGCUGAAAUGGUUCUUCAGACAGAGAGUGACGUGGAUGUAGUCAAGUCUUUAACAGGAAAAGAAAUUUCCGAUCCAGAUGGACAUAGUGUUUCGACGGAGCAGAUGCUGGAAAUGGACUUAAAAGUUGCAUUAGAAACAGAUGCUGAGAGCCAAAAGUCUGAUUUUCCUGAAGUUGAGGAUGAUUUACCUCAUAAACAGGAGAUGAUGUUAGAGAAGAAGUUUAUUGAAGAUGAAAAGGACAAGCUGGAACAGAUGAGAGCUGAAUUACACAAAGAAGCUGAUCACAUUGAAAAGAAAAAGCAGGACAUGCAGAAUGAAAGACAGAAGCUAGAAGAAAUGGCUGCUCAACUUCAUGAAGAGAGAAGUAGUCUUGAACGUCUUAAUGAGGAGAUUAAUGUUCAGAAUUUCAAUCAACAAAAGCAAGCAACAGAGUCUGAAAUGGAGAAGACUGAUUCAGAGAAAAUCAAAACAGAAAUUGCUAAAGCCAACAAACUUCUUGCAGCACAUCAAGAGAAGAAUGAGAUGACAAUAGAAGAGAUGCGGAGAGAGAGAGACACUCUUGAAGAAAUGAGGGUGAGCAUCUCAAAACAAGCGGAGACUAUUACAAAAGGUAAUGAAUACCUUUCUCGCAGAGAAAGUGAACUUGCAAAGCUGCAGGAAGACAUUUUACAACAACAAAAUGAAAUGGAUGAACUGAAAACCACAAUCAUGAUGGCAAUGAGUCAUCUGGACCAGAGACAAACUGACAUUGAUCAAUUACAGAGGGAGGUUGAUGAUCUAAUGGAAUUCACAAAGACAGAAAUGACCAACGUAGAAAGAGAAAGAGUGGAAAUAAUGGCACAGAAGAGAGAUAUAGAGAGAGAUAUGGUCAGUAUAGAGGAAGAAAAGAAGACCUGUGAACAACUGAGACUAAAAUUAUUUGAGGAAAAGGAUCGGGUUGAAAAAGACAGAGAACUGUUGACCAAAAAUUUGUAUCAUAUGGAGAGGCAGAAAAUGGAUAUGGAGAAAGAACUAAAGAAUCUAAAAGUUGAGAAACAAACCAUUCAAAAUGAAAAGGAGGAACUAGAGAGGAUGAAAACUGACCUUCAAAGACAAGCUGAAGACUUGAAGAAACUACCUGAGAAGACAAAGGAUGAAAGACAGAGGGCAGAAGAGAUGGCAGCCAAAUUUAAAAAGCAAUUAGACAUCAGUGGUAUUCCUUCGGAUGAGACAGAGAAGCAGAGUAAGGAAAUUCAGUCAACCAAAGACUUGCUUCGGGAAGAAAGGUCUGAGCUGGAGAAAACCAAAGCAGAGAUAAAACAAGCCAAGGAAGAAUUAGAGAGUCAAAGAACUGACUUACAGAGAGAAAAAGACAUUCUUAAGCAAGUGAGUAUAAAUAAUUUGAGACAAACAGCUCAAAUUGAAGAUGAGAAGGAAAAAAUACAACACAAAGAGUAUGAACUAGAACAAAUGAGAGCAGAACUUCAAAACAAACAAAAAGAAAUGGAUGACAUGAAAAACAACAUAAUAAAAGAAAAAGCUAAUAUGGAGAAUCUGGAACAAAAGAGAGCUGAGUUGGCUAGAGACUUGGAAAAGCUACAAACUGAGAAACAAGCUUUUAAAAAUGAGCAAGAUAAGCUGGAAAAGAAGAGAGAGGAUAUUGAGAAGUUAAAGCUAGAAGUUCAGAAAAAAGGGCAGAGGGCUGCAGAAGAGUUAGAAAAAGAGAGAAAACAAUUUACUAUGGAGAUCAAAAUGAAAAAUGACACCCUGGAUGAAAUACAAGCUGAGAUAGAAAGACAGAAACAAGCCAUUGCUGUAGACAAAGCGAUCAUUACAAAAGAAAAGAUAGAUCUGGAAAAAACCAAGGAACAUUUCAGAAGACAAUCCGUGGAGAGUGACAUCACACGUGCAGACCUGCAGAAAGAGAGAGCUAGUCUUGAUCAGAUGAGUGUGGAGAUCUUUAAGCAAAAACAGGACCUAGAGAGAGAAAGAGGUGAACUGUUAGAACGGCAUCAGCUGAUGGAAACACUAAAAAAGGACAUUGAAAAUGUGGAACAACUCAGAAAAGAGCUUUCGGAUCAAAAAGAAGUGACUGAGAAAAACAGAACACAGCUGAAACAAGACAUAGAUGACAUGGAACAAAACAAAUCAAAUCUGCAAAAAGAAUUACAGGAGAUAAAAGUCCAAAAACAGGAUAUUCAAGAUGAAAGAGCUCAACUAGAGCGAAUUAAAGCUGAGUUAGCAAAAGAAAGAGAAGCAAAUGAUGAAAUGUUGAGAGAGGGUAAGAAAGAAAUGGAGAAAUUGAAGGAGAUGAAAACAAAUAUUCUAAUCCAAAAAGAAGAGUUUGAGACUAAAAGACAGUCAGAAGUAGAGGAACUCAUUGGUAUGAGAGCUGAAAUACUCAAACAGAAAGAGGAAUUAGAGGACAAGAUGCAAAAGACUAAACAUGAGAUGAAAGAAUUGAAGCUUCUUCAGGAUGAAACAGAUGGCAAGAGGAAAGAUCUUGAACACAAGAUGAGACAGGCAGCAAGAAAGAAAGAUGAGCUGGAGAAAAUGAGAGCUUAUAUUGAAAGUGCAAAUGAGAAACUUGAAAUGAACAGGGUCCUGUUAAGUAUAGAGCUUGAUGAGAUGGAGCGAAUGAAAGCUGAGAAACAACGAGCGGGAGAAGAACUACAUAUGGAAGAGAGAGCUGGAGAUCUGGAAGAGAAAGAACAAAUAAACACCAAGAUACAGAGGCUUAUUCAAGAGGCUGAACAUGACCUGGAAAGAAGCAUGCCGAGAGAUGUUAAUGUUGCGGAUUCAGAGGAAAGGCAAGAAAUGAGUGCUUACAUGCAGAGGCUGAUCCAGGAAAUUGAGCAUGUCAGAGAGGUUCUCAGAAGAAUGAAAGAUGAAGUCAAGGCAGCUAGAAAAGAAAGAUUUGAACUGGAGAACAUAAGGCUGGAAGUUGAAGCCAUGAAACAGAGCAUGAAAGAAACCUAUGAGCAACAGAACAAUGAGAUACAAAAAGAAAAGCAGCAAAUAGAGAGUAGCAAAGACUUGUUGAGCAGAGAGCGAAGUGAUCUUGAGCAAAAUAGAGCUGAUUUGGAGAGACAAAAACAAGAAAUAGCAUUGGACAAACAAAAACUCCAUGAUGAAAAUGAACUGCUGAAGAUAGAAACGGCUGACAUGAAGAAACAAUAUGAAAUUCUCCAAAGCCUUCUAAAAGAAACUAGAGAAAGUGCAGGAGAAACAGUUACACUUUUUAAGAAAAAGAAAGGAAUGGGGAGAGAUUCAGAGGAAUUAAGGGAGAAAAUGGAAGCAUUAAGCAUGGGCGACCAGCAAGAAGAGAGCGAGAGUCAGUUAGAUAAAGUUAAAAGACAAAUAGACAAACUGACAGAGUUGAAGGCUGAGCUGGAUCAACAGCAGGUAGAACUUGAGAAAAAUAAAGCAGACUUUAAACAUCAGAUGGAUGAGCUAGAAAACAUGAGGUCUGAGAUAUUAAAACAUAAAAAGGACACGAGAGAGGUGGAGCUGAUGGAUAUACAGAGACAAAGAGAGGUCCUAGAAACAAGGAUUCAGAAAAUGAUGCAUGAGAAGGGAGAACUGGAAGUCUUAAGGUCUGAGAUAGUCAUAGAAAAGAAAGAUCUGGACCAGAAGAUGAAACAAGUGAUGAGAAAGAGGGAUGAGAUGGAGAAAAUGAAGACUGAUAUAGCAAAGGCCAAAGAGGAGAUCAACAGAGACCGGCAGGAGCUGGAAAUACUCAGGAAUGAUGUUCAAAGCUCAAGAGAGGAUUUUAAACUAUUGGUGGAGAAAACUGUGAAUCUAGAAAAUGAGGAAAGUACCAAUGCAGACAUCCAAAGACUGAUUUUAGAGGUUGUGAAAAUCAGCGAAAUGGUGAGAAAUCUAAAAGUUGACAUGGAGAACCGGAUGGAGGAAAGUAAGGUGGUGAGAGAUGAAAAGGAAAACUUCAAGUCUGAGAUCCAGAGGCUCAUUCAAGAUAUUGGACCAAUACGGGAACAUCUUGGAAGCCUUAGAGAAGAUAUAGAAACCAUCAGAAGAGACAAGAAUGAAUUGGAAAAGAUGAGGGCAGAACUUGUAGAGAAGCAACAGGCAGAAGAGAGCAUGCUGCAGAAAGAAAGAGAAAAACUGGAGCAGCUGAAAGAUGAUAUAAACAGAGAAAAGGAGGAUAUGGAGACCAAGAGAGAGCUGGUUAAGGAAGAAAUAGCUAAAGAAAAAAUGGCAGAGUUCAAAGACACAAGAAAGAACAAGAAAGAACCGCAAAUGGUCACUGAGGAACUCUUGAGAAACAAGAGUGAUGUAGAACAGCUCAACAAAGAUAUAGAAAACCUGAGGCAAACCAUGGAAGAAAUGAAAACACUGCAUGAAAAGAAAAGGGCUGAACUGGAAGGCAUUAUUUCUGAAGUAAAGAGGACAGAGCAGAUACUGGAGAAGCAGAAACAUGAGUUGGAGGAGAAGGGUUGGAUUGUUAAAGAAAUAGAGAAAAAGAAAGACAUACUUGAAAAGAUCAAUAUGGAAAUACUGAGGAAGAGAGAAGAUAUGGAAAAAGAAAUGGACAAUUUAAGGCACAAAAAGCAAGAGCUGGAGCUCUUUAGAGGUGAACUCCAGAGACAGAGAGUUGAUGUUGAAUCUUCAAAACAAGCUUUGAUCAUAGAGAAAGAUCGGUUAGAAGAUGAUCAAGCUGAAAUCAAUCAACAAAGGCAUGAAGUGAGUGCUGCCAUGAAGGCCUAUGAUGUGGAACUGAAAAAUCUAGAAAAGAUUAGGAAUGAACUAGAAAAUGAGAGGGCUAAACUUGACGAAAAGCUCCAUGAUGCCACAAAAUCAGAGAAGAAACUAGAGGAAAUGAAGAGUGUACUAAACAAACAAAAAGAGCAAGUGGAAGUAAUGAAGCAGAUGGUCAUCACAGAGAGACAUUUAAUUGAACAAGAGAAUGCUGAGCUUCAGAAGAAGUCAGAGAUCACUGACAGACUCAUUCAGGAAGCAAACAACGAGAGAGACAGAUUAACAGACCUCAGUCUAAAACUUCAAAUGCAAAGAGAAGAUAUAGAGAAUAUCAUCACAGAAAUAGAGACCAAGAAGAAAAAUCUAAAUAUAAUGAGUGCAGAACUUCAAGAUGAUAAGAUACGACUGAAAAAUGACAGGGAUGUUUAUGAAAGGGAAAUGACACAUCUGCAGCUUAAGAGGGAAGAGUUAGUGAUGGAAACAGAGGACCUGGAAAGAAAAACCUUACAGCAGAAAGAACAAGAUGAGAUGGCGAAACGAGAGAUUCAAAAUCAGAAAGAGGCUCUAGAGCAAAUGAAGGUGGACAUUCUGAAGGAAAGAGAGGAUUUUGACAAAGAGAAGAAAAAUGUACAUUCAGAAAAACAGAAACUGGAUACACAACAAGGAGAACUGCAAAGAAAGGAAUGUGAGCUUGAAAAUAGAGUAAAAACUUUCAUGGAAGAGCAGCAGCAGCUGAAACAGACUCAAGAUGAAAUAUAUAAAAUCAAGAAGGAGAUUCAAAGCAAUCUGGAAAUAAAGGAGGCUGAAAUUCAAGAGGAGAGACAGAGAUUAAUGGAAAUGGGUGAAACAAUGACAAGAGAAUGCAAUGAAUACAGAAAUCUGAUUGAAGAAGUGAAGAAAGAAAAAGAACAGAUUGAAAUCAGCAAAAAGUUGAUGGAUCAAGAGAAGGACGAUCUUGAAAACAUGAAAAAUGAUCUGGAGAUGCAAUUGCAAAAUCUAAGGUAUGACAAACUAAAAGUAGAAGAUGAGAUGAAAGCACUAGAGCAGAUAAGGGCAGAAUCCAAAGAGAUUCAAAAUGUUAUCAAGAAGGAAAGGCAGGAUCAUGAGAAAUGCUGGGAGGAGAUUGAGGAUGAAAAGCAAAGAGUGGAGGAAGAAAUCAGACAAUUAGAGAGACAGAGGGAAGAAACGUAUAAACUUCACAGCGAGUUGCAAAUAAUUAGAGAUGACAUUGAAAGUAGGAAAGAAAAUAUUGAUAAAGAAAUUAAAGAAUUGUUGCAAAUGAGGGUUGAACUGGAGAGAACAAAAGUGGAAAUCAAAAAGGAUAAUCAACAACUUCAAGAUGAUAAAUUUAACCUUGAAAAGACAAAAGCUGAGAUAAAGAUACAGACAGAUAAACUGAUACUACUAGACACUAAUUUAAAGGAGAAAGAAAGAGAAAUGAAAAUCCAACUAGAUAAAGACAGAGAAGAAAUUAAAUGUUUGUCUGAAGAGACUGAAAUGAAAAUGAGGGACCUUGAUAUGACGAUGAAGGUGAUGGAGAGACAAAAGCAAGAAAUUGAGAAAACAAAAGUGAUGCUUGAAAAGGAAAAGACAGAAAUUGGUAAAGAAAAGAAAGACUUGGAAAACCAAAUGAUGGACCAGACUGAGCAGAUAGAAAAGGACAGACUGGCCCUUGAGGAGAUGAAGGAAGAACUUCUUCAUGAAAAACAAGAAAUGGAGGAAGAGAGGAAUAACUUGAUGACUUUAAGCAACAAACUAGAAGUUUUAAGAGCAGAGACAAGGAAUAAGCAAAAUGAAAAUGAGAUUUUGAAGAAGAAACUUAUUUUGGAGAAAUCAAACAUAGAGGAAUUGCAGUUUGAGGUACUUAACCAGCAGCGACAGAAUGAUCAAACCAGUGAGGAAAACAAGAAAGAGAAAGAAGGUCUGGAAAAACAGAGGUUUGAAACUGAACAGCAGAAAAAGAUGUUGGAGCUUAGCAUCAUAAAAAUUAACGAGGAGAAGCAAAAACUUCAGAAAGCCAAAGAAGAAAUGGAAAACAUAAAAUACAUGACCAACAAAGAAAGAGACAAGGUUGAACAAAUGCAAGCUGAGAUACACAGUCAGAUUCAGUCGACUGAACUUCAAAUGCAACUCAUGCAAGACAAGCAGAAUGCUCUUGAGGAAAAAGAGCUAAACAUACAGAGGAGGGAAAGGGAAGUAGAGAGGAGAAACAUAGAAUUAGAUGGAAUCGCUGCUCAGCUUCAAAUUGAACAGGAACAUUUAGAUACUGUUCUUGAGGAAACCAAUAAGAGACAACAUGCCCUUGAAGUGAUAAAACAAACAAAUAAUAAGGACUUUGAGUUGCUUGAGAAGAUACGGCAUGAAAUAGACAACGAAAAGAUAGAAAUGAAGCAGAAACAAGAUGAUCUGCAGAUUUGGACUAAACAACAGAAAGAUAAGGUUCAAGUCCAGUUAGAAGAGCUAGAGAAAGAAAGAGAAAAAUUGGAAAAAAUGAAGAUUCUUGCUGAGAGAGAACAAUCUGAAAAAGAGAGAGCUGAUAUAAAUAGGCUAAAUGGUGAAAUAGAGACAAUGAGACAAACAGUGAUAAUUCAGAAGAGUGAGCUGGAGCAGAGAGAGAAAUAUAUUACUGAGCAGCAGCAAAGACUGGAUCAAAGUGUAAAAGAGGUAACAGAAGAAAGAAGUGAAAUGGAUAAGAUGAGGCUUGAACUAGAAGCUCGGAGACAUCGAAUUGAAGAUGACGUGAACACUAUUGCAAAGCAGGAAAAAGAACUUGCACAACUGAGAGAUGAAAUACAAAGAGAAAAACAAGAAAUUGGUGAGAACAGGAACAUGAAUAACAAGUUAAUGAACGAUCUGGAAAUUAUGAAAGCCAAGCUGGAGGAACAACAAGAAAUGAUCCAAACUGAAACAGAAAAACUCCAAAAGGAAAGAAAACUAGUUGACCAGACAAAAUCUGAGGUUCAGAAUGAUGCUGAAAAUCUGAAAAACGUAUCUGAAGAGAUCAAAAGGAAGCAAGAAAAAAUUGAGAUAAGGGAGGCCCACCUUAACCAAAUGAUGGAGCAAUGUGUCAAUACCAUGGAAGAAACUAAGAGGAAGAAGAGUGAACUAGAAAAGACUAUUGAUGACAUAGAAGAGCAAAAUCAACUGAUUAAGACUGAGAAAGACCAUCUGGAAAAAGAGAGACAUAACAUUGAAAAGGAAAAAGAAGAUUUGCAAAGACGAGCUGAUGACCUGGAGAUGCACAUGACAGAACAAAAAGAAAAAGAAGAGAUAAGUAAAAGGUUGAUGGAUGACGAGAAAAAGCUUCUUGAGGAAAAGGCUGGCGAAAUUCUGAGACAAAGAGAUGAAAUAGAGAAAGAAAAAGAAGACAUGACAAAGAAGUGGGAUGAGCUGGAUGUUCUUCAGAAGAAAAUACAAAAACAAAGAGACGAACUGGAAGAAAUGAAAUAUGAGUUACAAACUGAAAAGACUAAAAUGAAUCAACAGCAGCAAAGACUGGAUGAGAUUAUAAGAGCUGUGAAUGAGGAGAGGAGAGAUCUAGAGAACAUGAGGAGUGAAUGUGAAAAAUACAGACAACAAAUGGAAGAAGAGAUGAGAGUAAAAGCAAAGAUGGAGAGAGAGGAGCUUGAUCAGAAGAAGCGUGAUCUGGAAAGACAGAAAACUGAAAUAGAUAAAGACCAGAAGAAAAUAGAUGAUGAGAGAAAGAUGAUUGAACAGGGGAGAAAUGACCUGGAAAAGAUGAGGUCUGAAAUAAUGACACAAAGAAAGGAAAUAGAAGAAGAAAGAUCAGAACUAGACAACAAAACAAAAGAGACUGAUCUAGUAAAAUGUGACAUUGAAAGGAGCAGAGAAACUGUACAGAAAUUAUUGGAUGAGGUGGAAGAACAGAGAAAUGAUAUUAAACUUAAUGAAGAAGAACUUGAACUUGAGAGACAAAAUAUCACUGAUGAAAAAGAUUUUCUGGCUCAAAUAAAGACUGAACUGCAAAAAGAAAGUGAACGAAUCAGAUACAUGGAAGAGGAAAUAAAGAAGGAGAGAGAAACACUGAAAGAAAUGGAAGCUCAUCUACAAAAGGAAAAGAAAGAAAUCGAGAGUGUCACUGAAGAAACAAACAGACGAAAACAUGAUCUUGAAAGAAUGCAGACAGAACUGAAAAAAGAAAGUGAACAAAUCAGAUACAUGGAAGAGGAAAUAAAGAAGGAAAUAGAAACACUGAAAGAAAUGAAAACUCAUCUACAAAAGGAAAAGGAAGAAAUUAAGAGUGUCGCUGAAGAAACAAAUAGACGAAAAGAAGAUCUGGAAAGGAUGAACACAGACAUAAAUGAGCAAAAACAAGAGCUGAGAAAAUACAGAGAGCUUCUAGAGCAGGAGAGAGAAGAAAUGAAAAAUAAAUGGAUACAGUUACAGCAGAGAAUUGAUAAAUUUGAUACUCAAGUCAGACAACAGAAGGAAAAGGAUUUAAUGANCAAAUGGAAGACAUCAGAGAAGCAAUCAAACUAG